rnacentral:lncRNA from 1 species
UGAAGGCAUUGGAACUUUUAGAGGAUAUAUUUGCAAAUUAUAAAAUUUUUGAAAGAAUAAAUCUGAUUAUUUAAGUUUUAUAAAAAUUAUCUGGUAUUUGACACUUUCGCAUUGAAACGUAUGAAAUUAACUUCAAAAGAAAAGGGGGUGAGCUUUCACACUAUACCUCAUGCAUUCCAAAGAGGCCACACCUAAUUAAUCCACAAAAUUAGCCUUUACCAAUAACAAAUUGGUUCCCA